rnacentral:misc_RNA from 1 species
UCCGAGUUGACCCCGGCAGUCUCCCAUGAGUCCCCGGCAACACCCGCUGGCAACAUGGAACAAGGGUUGCGCUCGUUGCGGGACUUAACCCAACAUCUCACGACACGAGCUGACGACAGCCAUGCAGCACCUGUGCACGGGCUCCGAAGAGGGCCCUCCGUUUCUGAAGGGUUUCCCGUGUAUGUCAAGCCUAGGUAAGGUUCUUCGCGUUGCGUCGAAUUAAACCUCAUGCUCCACCGCUUGUGCGGGCCCCCGUCAAUUCCUUUGAGUUUCAGCCUUGCGGCCGUACUCCCCAGGCGGGGCACUUAUCGCGUUAGCUGCGACACGGAGAGGGUCGAUCCCCCCCGCGUCUAGUGCCCAUCGUUUACGGCGUGGACUAC